AUACUUACCUGGACGGGGUCGAUGGGCGAUCAAGAUGGCCCAUGGCCUAGGCUAGUGGCCUCCAUUGCACUUGGGAGGAGCACUGGCUUACCAUCUCCCCAAGUGGGAGAGUGGACGUCGUAAUUUGUGGUAGAGGGGGAACGCGCGCGCCGCGGCCCCUG
rfam:Musa acuminata subsp. malaccensis Doubled-haploid Pahang (DH-Pahang) genomic chromosome, chr10